UCUGUUCUAUGCUUUCUAUUUCUAGACCACAUCUGCCUCUGCUGUCUUCUCAUCUACUUUCCCUAUGUGGAGAUUGUGAUAACUCAUUCUACCCUACACCACAUUAGAAAUACCUGAUCUUGUGAAAAGACAAACUAGGUUCUUCAGUUCUAAUGUCUAGUGACAAGAACAGAAAAAGGGGUUGCUGGGUUUCAUUAGGAACAUUGUACUGACCCAGUCUUCAGAUUCCUUGGCUGUGACUUUGGGACAA